GUCGGGUUAAUUAGGUCAUUUAAUUCUGCUUUCUGGGGUCGGUCCCGGGUUGGAGACAGACGCAAGCAAGGCAAGUCUGAAUCCCUGCCCAGGAAGGAGGGAAGCAAGGAGGCCCCUCGGGCUGGGGCGGAGCCAGGGGCGGUCCUGCUGCAGAGCGCGGCUGCGGUUCUGGCUGGCGUCCUGGGACAGCUCCGUGCUCAGGGCCUGCCGACCUCGGGGUGCCCUCCCCUCCAACCAGCCGACACCCAACUCCAUCCUGCCAGGGGCCGCUGUCGUGGCAGCACCUGGCCCUCAGCGCCCCCUUUCUGGGGAGAGUCCAGCCCCCUCAUCUGGACGUUGGGACGUCAAGCCCUGUUGACCCUGUUGACAUCCCGGCACCAGAAACCCCUCAGCCAAGGGUCCCUCGGGCGUGGGCCGCCUUCAGGUUGUACAGUCCCCGCUCGCUGCAAGGUGCUGGACUGUCCUGCUCCUGCCCUGGGCCGGCGUCCCCGCCUCCAGGGAGCCCACCGGCUCGUCCGCAGGGGCGCGAGCCCUGGACGGCUUUCUAGGGCUCUCCCCGAGGCGCCGAGUUUAGCCACCUGCUCCGCUUUCCUGGGCAAGGCCUGCCGCGCAGUCAAUACGAGACGCCCCCAACACAGGCCGGCGCACCCCCCCCCCCCGCCCGCUCCCGCGGGGGCGCCGCAGCUCUUCCCGGGUCUGCAGCCCUCGCUGCUCUGCUCUUCCCGGGGCCGGGGCGGGGCGGGGCGGGGCGGGGCGGCCGCCACCUGGGGACCCUCUGGCCUCGACCGCGCGAAAGGCAGGGACGCGGGCCGAGUCUGCGGACGCCUCCGUCCCUCGCAACCGCCUUCCCCCCAGAAUCCCACGUCGCCCGCCCUGGGGGCCAAAAGAAGGGCAGGGGCCAAGGCCCCUUGGGCACCGGGGCCACCCCGCCUUUCCCGCUCGGAAGCUACCUCUGGGGCGCCGGGGCUGCUCAGCUCACCGCAGCCCCAGGGCGCAGCACCCAGGGCCCCGCACCCAGGGGCCGGGACCCGGGACCCAGCACCCACCGGAACCCGCCUGUCCCGAUGCCGGCGUGGAAUUUUCCGGAGCAGCCCGCCCCCCAUGCCAAGUGACGGCACUGACGGGCAGCCCUCUGCCCCCAUAGCGGACGCAGAAACUGAAGGGGCC
rnacentral:lncRNA from 12 species